rnacentral:rRNA from 1 species
UAAGACAGAGGUGCCGAGCGUUAGGCGGAAUCACUGGGCUUAAAGCGUGUGUAGGCGGGCCGUUAAGUAUCUUGUGAAAUCCCCCGGCUCAACCGGGGAAUGGCUGGAUAUACUGGCGGUCUUGAGCAGUCCAGGGGCAGAUGGAACAGACGGUGGAGCGGUGAAAUGCGUAGAUAUCGUCUGGAACGCCAAAGGUGAAGACAGUCUGCUGGGGACUUGCUGACGCUGAGACACGAAAGCCAGGGGAGCGAACGGGAUUAGAUACCCCGGUAGUCCUGGCCCUAAACGAUGUCGACUAGAUCGUGGGACCUCUGACGGUUUCACGGUCGUAGCAAAAGUGCUAAGUCGACCGCCUGGGAAGUACGGUCGCAAGGCUA